GAAGGUAUAGCUCAGGGGUAGAGUGUGUGCUUAGAAUGUACAAGGUCCUAGGUUCAAUCCCCAGUACCUCUA
rnacentral:tRNA from 1 species